UCCGCCGGGUUAUUGCCUUUAGUAGCGGCGAGUGAAGCGGCAAAAGCUCAAAUUUGAAAUCUGGCACUUUCAGUGUCCGAGUUGUAAUUUGAAGAAGGUAUCUUUGGGUCUGGCUCUUGUCUAUGUUUCUUGGAACAGAACGUCACAGAGGGUGAGAAUCCCGUGCGAUGAGAUGUCCCAGACCUAUGUAAAGUUCCUUCGAAGAGUCGAGUUGUUUGGGAAUGCAGCUCUAAGUGGGUGGUAAAUUCCAUCUAAAGCUAAAUAUUGGCGAGAGACCGAUAGCGAACAAGUACAGUGAUGGAAAGAUGAAAAGAACUUUGAAAAGAGAGUGAAAAAGUACGUGAAAUUGUUGAAAGGGAAGGGCUUGAGAUCAGACUUGGUAUUUUGUAUGUUACUCUCUCGGGGGUGGCCUCUACAGUUUACCGGGCCAGCAUCAGUUUGAGCGGUAGGAUAAGUGCAAAGAAAUGUGGCACUGCUUCGGUAGUGUGUUAUAGUCUUUGUCGAUACUGCCAGCUUAGACUGAGGACUGCGGCUUCGGCCUAGGAUGUUGGCAUAAUGAUCUUAAGUCGCCCGUCUUGAAACACGGACC
rnacentral:rRNA from 1 species